CCCCAGACCACUUAAUUACUUGAAAAGAUAAUCUGAAUAACAUUUGAUCAAAUUUUUCAUUAGAACUCCCUUUUAAUUUUUCAUUAGCUUCAUAAUUAACUGAAUUUGUACAGUCAUCAGUCUGUUUACAGAUUUUUGCUUUGUAAAGUGCUGUACCGUAACCCUGUCUCUUUUCUCUUGCUUUCCAGAUUAUCACACAAAGCAGCAGAAGGCAACCAUAUAUCCUUCUUCUGGUGACUAGAACAUCCAUUUCAAUGUAUCAUCAGAUGUGUUUCCAUGGGUUGAAGGAAAAUGGGCUUCUCACUCCAAGUCUUAUUUGAAUUUUCAUUUCAUUUGAUUAAGCAGGUAUCAUUUCUGUCCUGACAAGAGGAGGCUCCACCUGCCGACUGCCCACCAACGCAUCCAGCUGUCUGCUUUGCAGAACAGGCAAGGUAAUUUG